ensembl:lncRNA
UCACCACAAGGUCGACUUCAAUCAUACCUCAUGAAAAGUGCUUCACGUAAUCACUCUGAACACCUGCCCCCCCCCGCCUCAAACCUCUGGAUUCAUUCAUUUUUUCAUUUCAUUUCAUUAAUGGCUGUAAACUGGAUCCACCUCAUCGUGUCCUUCAUCAAAGAGAGGAAGAGGAGAGGAAGUCGUUGGUCUCGGGCCUCUCUGUAGUUGUGCCAGGGGCCGGACCGAGCGAGGGGAGGGAGAGGGAGAGGGAGAGGGGGGGGGGUCGAGUUGGCAAGGGACUGACAUCGAAAACAACAAAGGGCAACGUGAUAAUCCCCCCCUAAUGCCCCCUGUCUGCCCCGUGUCUGCAGUGGCUCUGUGGCGGGUGGCAGACUGAGUGCACCCAUGCCGAAGGGUUACCUGGGCGACGAAGCGCUCGUCUCAGCGUCCCGAAUUGGCGGGCUUUUUUUUUUUUUUUCUCCCCCUGCCGCUGAUUCAGCAGAGAUCAGACUGCAGCGUCGCCUGCGGUCGUCCAUUAUGCAACAGGCCCCUCAGUGCUGUGUGGACAGUGAGCGCCGGGGACCGGGACGCUCCCCGAGACGACGCUGCAGGGGGGCAGUGGGGGGGGGCUCGUAGUCCCGUUUGCAGAAUGAUACCCCCCCCUCUUCCCCGUUGGCCUGAGUCGUCCUCUGGCUCCGUGCACAUCUCCAUUGACCCACACAAAUGCACUUGCCCCAGUGGUCUUCACGGGGUCCUGGACACCCCUUCAAAAGCUGAAUAUACAGUAUUUGUCCUACGGAAUCGGACCCAAAUAUACACAAAGAAAGAGUUCAUGGAUUUGAUGGCAGAAGGAGAUUAUAGUACAUAAUGUAAAACCCGAGAUAAAUCCUUAUUAUUUGUGGUCCGAGGCGAAGCGCUGCUCCGGAGCUCCACUUUCCGGCGAUUUAAUGAGAUUCGACCCAUUGGCAUCAAUAGCAGCCACACGGAAACAGCCAAUCUUCUUGCUGAUGGUCUCCUUUACUCAAGUAGGUCACACAGAGACAUCAGUAUUACGUUUAGACGGUUUCAAAAUCAAACAUAAGCUCUUUGUUAGCAACUUUAGAAAAGUAUCGACUCUUAUGUUUAUUAAUAAAAGCAAAACAUGAAUAACCAACACACGUGACCCUGCAUGAAGUAUCCGUGGCAAACGUAGGACAUCAGAAGGGAGGAAACAGACCUGACAGGUGGAGCAAAAGUGAAUGAAAACAUAAUAAAACGACAACAAAAAAAACAUUACCGAGCGAUUUAUUCAGCACCAGAAUGUCACGAUUUGCAACAACAUGACAAUUGUCACAUUAGUGUGUUGAUGAAUAGCUCGUAUUAAGCCCAGAAGACAUGAACCCACUCAGCAAAGUGAUGAUCCCCCAUUAUGUGGUGAUGUGGUUUCUCCACAUGAGCCUCAUCCACGCCACUGCUCGAACGAAAAAACCGAUAAACACCUUUGUGACGGGAAUGUAAAUUCUCUGCAGCACAGCCGGCGUACGGCGCGAAACGCCUUCUGUGAGAUAACGGGUUUGGCAACCGUCUUCACUGGACGCCAUUCAAGUCGUGUUUAAUGUGCUCGUGUGAACUCGGCGUCCGCGGCCAUCUGCUCGCAGCCACAAAAAGCCGGCGCGUCAUUUCAGUUCAGUGAAUUAUUUGCAUUUUCUCACAUCAAUACCAGUUAUUUCUUGUGCGACGCAAGUGGGAUGUUCUCCGUCCUCGCGGGAUUCCCCUCGCCGACACAAGAGGAAUUCUUUUGGGAAGUAAAGACAAAAAACGAUGGCAACGCAGAGGGAACGCAAGCCUCGCUGAGGUGGUCUUCUUCUUCCUUUUGUUCAUUACAGUUGUGUUCAAAUAAUACGGCUUAAAGUCAUUUACAAAGCGGUCACUUUCACAGCAUGUUGUGAGCGAUCAUGCAUGUAAAUAAGCCUUGAGUCUUGAUCAUAUGAGCCUUUAUUAUUCCCAUUGCAUCAUUUAACAAUAUUAAGUGAAGCCAUGUUCCAAUGUGAUAUUGAGGCACAAAUAAAGUGGGUUUAUUCAUUGAGCUACUGCGACUGCAACUUUUAUUUUGACAAGGAUCCCUGACGAAAAGCUCAUUUUUCUGCAGAACGUAAGCACAUAUUUGAAAUAAGUCGGGGGGUUUUUGCCAACCUUUUUAAUUCUCUGUUUUCUUUCAUUCAUCCAACUUCUCUUUAGAGGGUUUGUGGGGUUCCGAAAUCAAUCCUUCCAAGUUCACAGGUCACCACAGGUCCCUCGAUGAAGCCCGAGCAGAAGCAGUUUCCA